rnacentral:rRNA from 1 species
AUGGUAAUCUUCAUAGCAAGCAUCUUCUUCCCAGCAGUGGGAACACUUGCCCGAGCCUCUUCUGGACACUCCAUGUCGUCACCAGCUUGCCCUGACAAGUGUGGCGACGUAUCCAUCCCAUACCCCUUUGGGAUUGGCGCGCACUGCGCUGCGAUCAGCCUCAACAGCUACUUCAACCUCGACUGCGACAGCACGGUCGAUCCACCAAGGCCAACUGUUGGUGAUCCGAAUGUAGCAGCUGAGAUCACCGACAUCUCACUGAAGAAUGGCGAGAUGCACCUAUACAGCCCCGUCAAUCACAUCUGCUUCACGUCGAACACCACAUUCACCAAGUUCACCACAGGGUACGAUCUGAAGCACACGCCCUUCCUCCCGUCACCGCCACGCAACCGUUUCACAGUCAUUGGCUGCAACACCCUUGGGCUCAUCACCGGCUACAAAGAAACCGUGGGCCAGUAUGUGACUGGUUGCUACUCGAACUGCGAGGGCAUCAACAACACGUCUGAGGACGCGCCAUGCAAUGGGAUGGGCUGCUGUGAGGUUGCCAUCCCCACCAACCUCACCUCCUUGGAGAUCAAAUUUGAGAUGACACAGAGCAGGGUAUGGAGCUUCAACCCAUGCUUGUACGCCAUGGUGGCUGAGGUCGGGUGGUACACCUUCGGGCAGCAGGACCUUGCCGGCACACUUGGGUUCAUCGAUGGUCGAGCUAACAGAGGUGCUGCCGUUGUUGUCGACUGGGCCAUUAGGAAUGGCUCAUGCCCGGAGAAGGGGAAAGACACACCUACUGACUAUGGUUGCAUCAGUACAAACAGCUAUUGCAUGGCCGCGAACAACGGUCCAGGAUACUUAUGCCAGUGCUCCGGAGGAUAUGAGGGCAAUCCUUAUCUUCUGAAUGGCUGUCAAGACAUAGACGAGUGCACAUUGCGUAAGCAGGACCCCAAGUAUGAAGAUUUGUAUCCAUGCAGACAAGGGGUCUGUAGCAACACACCCGGGAACUACUCUUGCAUAUGCAAGAGAGGAACACGACCUGAUGGUACAAAAUUUGGAUGCCGAUCUCUGUUGUCUUCAGAUCAAAAAUUGGUCAUUGGGCUCAGUAUUUCUGCAACUUCGGUGAUGGCCUUAGCAUGCUUGCUACUCAUGCAAUUUCAAAUAAGAAGGCACAAGAGGGAGAAAGAUGAGUAUUUCAGACAAAAUGGAGGUCUCAAGUUAUACGAUGAGAUGAGGUCAAAGCAGGUUGACACAAUCCGCAUACUUACGGAGAAAGAGAUAACGAGAGCCACUGACAACUACAAUGAAGAUCGAGUUAUUGGAUGUCGUGGUCAUGGUAUGGUCUACAGAGGAACUUUGGAUGAUCAAAAAGAGGUCGCCAUAAAGAAGUCCAAAGCAAUCAAUGCUGAUUGGAGAGAAGAAUUUGUCAAUGAGAUUAUAAUCUUGUCACAGAUCAAUCACAGAAACAUUGUGAGGUUACUAGGCUGUUGUCUGGACAAAGAUGUCCCAAUGUUGGUCUAUGAGUUUGUCUCCCAUGGUACUCUAUCCCAGUUCCUUCACGGUGCUGAUCGUAGAUUGCCAAUUCCCCUUGCUAUUCGCCUGAAGAUUGCUACACAGUCAGCAGAAGCUCUAGCUUACUUACAUUCAUCCACAUCUCGCACAAUCCUACAUGGCGAUGUCAAGUCUGCCAACAUUCUCUUGGAUGACAAGCUCAAUGCAAAGGUUGCUGAUUUCGGAGCAUCAGCACUUAAGUCCAUGGAUGAAAGUGAGUUCAUCAUGUUUGUCCAUGGAACACUGGGAUACCUUGACCCUGAGAGCUUUAUCAGCCAUCUUCUCACUGAGAAAAGCGAUGUAUACAGUUUCGGGGUUGUUCUUCUCGAGCUAAUGACACGAAAGAGAGCUAUAUAUACCAACAACUUUAAUGGAAAGCACUCACUGUCAUAUAGCUUUCCCUUGAUGUUUCAUCGGAAGACGCACCACGUUAUGCUGGACUCUGAAAUUACAGAUGACGCGGGUAUGGUGGUCCUUGAGAACAUGUGUGAACUCGCAGUUCACUGCCUUAGCCAGAGGGGAGAUGACAGGCCAACAAUGAAGGAAGUUGCAGAGAGGCUAGAUAUGAUGAGGAGACUCUAUUCGCACGCCACCAGUGCUUGUGAACAUAACUGCUUUGCACGUAGUUAUGGAGCAUCACCUUCAGUGGCUGUCCCUUUGAACGAGACAACACGUGGGACUAUCGAUAUGUCUGAGCUGGUUGAAGAUCUUGCAAGAUGA